GUGAGUAAGGGGGGUGUGUUUCUCUUUCUGUUGUACAGGAGAAAGGGCUGCAUUCCUUCUGAUUUCUUCUCUUCAAAGAGAGCGAGAGGGGCGUCCGUGCCGUUCAUACGUCGAAGAGAAUGAGCUCAGGAAGAAUGGUGCAGAAGGCGAGCCUUUCCAGCCAAGGGCCUCCAACCCCAAGCUUUGCAAAGAGGAAGAAGGUGCAGGAGACAUCCGAUAUUAGGAGUCCGACCGACAGCAUGAUGUCUCCAUGCAGCCGCACACUCAUGAGAAAAGCUUCCAAGGAUGUAGCAACACUUCCACAGGCUCCUUUGUUUACCAUGGAAGAUAAGGAGAACAAUCCCUCACAAAUUCCUAAUGUCUGAGGAAUGAUGGUAGCAGGAAACUGAGAAAUGCCAUCGUCUGCAGUAGCUAGUGCACAGUUAAGCUGCUUUUUA